AGAGUUUGAUCCUGGCUCAGGAUGAACGCUAGCGACAGGCUUAACACAUGCAAGUCGAGGGGCAGCACAGGUAGCAAUACCGGGUGGCGACCGGCGCACGGGUGAGUAACGCGUAUGCAACUUACCUAUCAGAGGGGGAUAACCCGGCGAAAGUCGGACUAAUACCGCAUGAAGCAGGGGCCCCGCAUGGGGAUAUUUGCUAAAGAUUCAUCGCUGAUAGAUAGGCAUGCGUUCCAUUAGGCAGUUGGCGGGGUAACGGCCCACCAAACCGACGAUGGAUAGGGGUUCUGAGAGGAAGGUCCCCCACAUUGGUACUGAGACACGGACCAAACUCCUACGGGAGGCAGCAGUGAGGAAUAUUGGUCAAUGGGCGUAAGCCUGAACCAGCCAAGUCGCGUGAGGGAUGAAGGUUCUAUGGAUCGUAAACCUCUUUUAUAAGGGAAUAAAGUGCGGGACGUGUCCCGUUUUGUAUGUACCUUAUGAAUAAGGAUCGGCUAACUCCGUGCCAGCAGCCGCGGUAAUACGGAGGAUCCGAGCGUUAUCCGGAUUUAUUGGGUUUAAAGGGUGCGUAGGCGGCCUUUUAAGUCAGCGGUGAAAGUCUGUGGCUCAACCAUAGAAUUGCCGUUGAAACUGGGAGGCUUGAGUAUGUUUGAGGCAGGCGGAAUGCGUGGUGUAGCGGUGAAAUGCUUAGAUAUCACGCAGAACCCCGAUUGCGAAGGCAGCCUGCCAAGCCAUGACUGACGCUGAUGCACGAAAGCGUGGGGAUCAAACAGGAUUAGAUACCCUGGUAGUCCACGCAGUAAACGAUGAUCACUAGCUGUUUGCGAUACACAGUAAGCGGCACAGCGAAAGCGUUAAGUGAUCCACCUGGGGAGUACGCCGGCAACGGUGAAACUCAAAGGAAUUGACGGGGGCCC
rnacentral:rRNA from 1 species